AUAUAUUAUUUUUUUAGUAAGAUAAGAGCGUUUAAAAAGGACAUCUAAUAAAUCUUAUUAUUUUUCUAAUCAAAAAAUACUCUUAAAUUUAAAUAUUAACAAACAUGCUCCAAUAAGCUUAGCAAUAAUUAAAAACAUGUGCUGUGUCAUGGACACAAAAUACAGACUUGAAAUCUAACAAGAAGUUCAAGAAGAAGUGGCAGAACUAGAUUAAACAGAUGAGUACAAGAACAACACCAGAAAGGUGAGCUAGAACUCCAAGAGAUGUG
rnacentral:lncRNA from 1 species